rnacentral:rRNA from 1 species
UACGAAGGGGGCUAGCGUUGCUCGGAAUCACUGGGCGUAAAGCGCACGUAGGCGGAUUGCUAAGUCAGGGGUGAAAUCCUGGAGCUCAACUCCAGAACUGCCUUUGAUACUGGCGAUCUUGAGUCCGGGAGAGGUGAGUGGAACUGCGAGUGUAGAGGUGAAAUUCGUAGAUAUUCGCAAGAACACCAGUGGCGAAGGCGGCUCACUGGACCGACACUGACGCUGAGGCGCGAAAGCGUGGGGAGCAAACAGGG